UUUUUAGGGGAAGGUGUGGUGUAAAGGAUGUUCCGCCUAUUAAUUUACUUUUAUUAUGUUGGUGUAUAUCUGGUUUAAUAUUAUUGUUGAAUAAUAUAAGCUUGUGUAAUUUUAUUAGUUAAGCCAAGUCUAUGUGCUGCUUAUAGAAGUAUUCAUGCGUUACUUUAAUAAAGUUUUAGUUGUAAGCACUAUUAUAUUUAGGACUUAAAAGUAAUGUUAAAUUAGUUUGUUAAUGUGAAAUAAGUUUAGCUCAU
rnacentral:rRNA from 1 species